GACGAACGCUGGCGGCGUGCCUAAUACAUGCAAGUCGAGCAGAGUUUUUAAAAGCUUGCUUUUAAAAACUCAGCGGCGGACGGGUGAGUAACACGUGGGCAACCUGCCCUGUAGACUGGGAUAACUUCGGGAAACCGAAGCUAAUACCGGAUAAUCAUAGAAGUUGCAUAGCUUCUAUGUAAAAGUUGGGUUUACCUAACACUACAGGAUGGGCCCGCGUCGCAUUAGCUAGUUGGUAAGGUAACGGCUUACCAAGGCGACGAUGCGUAGCCGACCUGAGAGGGUGAUCGGCCACACUGGGACUGAGACACGGCCCAGACUCCUACGGGAGGCAGCAGUAGGGAAUCUUCCGCAAUGGACGAAAGUCUGACGGAGCAACGCCGCGUGAGCGAUGAAGGCCUUCGGGUCGUAAAGCUCUGUUGUUAGGGAAGAACAAGUACCAUUCAAAAUAAGGGUGGUACCCUGGACCGGU
rnacentral:rRNA from 1 species